rnacentral:rRNA from 1 species
UACGAAGGGGGCUAGCGUUGCUCGGAAUCACUGGGCGUAAAGGGUGCGUAGGCGGGUUUUUAAGUCAGGGGUGAAAUCCUGGAGCUCAACUCCAGAACUGCCUUUGAUACUGGCAACCUUGAGUCCGGGAGAGGUGAGUGGAACUGCGAGUGUAGAGGUGAAAUUCGUAGAUAUUCGCAAGAACACCAGUGGCGAAGGCGGCUCACUGGCCCGGUACUGACGCUGAGGUGCGAAAGCGUGGGGAGCAAACAGG